CGGAGCGUGGCGCAGUCCGGUAGCGUGCUUGAAUGGGGUUCAAGAGGUCGGCGGUUCAAAUCCGCCCGCUCCGA
rnacentral:tRNA from 3 species